rnacentral:tRNA from 1 species
AGUCCUAGCGUUUGAGGUUGCAAACCUAAUAAGCUGAAUAAUUAUCAGCCGGGGCUU